GACGAACGCUGGCGGCGUGCUUAACACAUGCAAGUCGAACGAAGUGGCGAACGGGUGAGUAACGCGUAAUCAACCUGCCCUUCAGAGGGGGACAACAGUUGGAAACGACUGCUAAUACCGCAUACUGAAGGAGGGGAUUGCGUCUGAUUAGCUAGUUGGAGGGGUAACGCCCCACCAAGGCGAUGAUCAGUAGCCGGCCUGAGAGGAGGACCGGCCAAAUUGGAAUGGAGACACGGCCAAGACUCCUACGGGAGGAAGCAGUGGGGAAUCUUCGGAAAUGGAGGAAAGCCGAACGGAGCAAGGCCGCGUGAGGGUGGACGGCCUCCGGGUUGUAAAGCCCUUUAAUUCGGGAGGCGGUACCCGGAAUAGAAGCCCCGGCUUACUUCGUGCCAGCAGCCGCGGUAAUUC
rnacentral:rRNA from 1 species